AUGAACGCUGGCGGCGUGCCUAAUACAUGCCAGUCGAGCGAACAGACGAGGAGCUUGCUCCUCUGACGUUAGCGGCGGACGGGUGAGUAACACGUGGAUAACCUACCUAUAAGACUGGGAUAACUUCGGGAAACCGGAGCUAAUACCGGAUAAUAUAUUGAACCGCAUGGUUCAAUAGUGAAAGACGGUUUUGCUGUCACUUAUAGAUGGAUCCGCGCCGCAUUAGCUAGUUGGUAAGGUAACGGCUUACCAAGGCAACGAUGCGUAGCCGACCUGAGAGGGUGAUCGGCCACACUGGAACUGAGACACGGUCCAGACUCCUACGGGAGGCAGCAGUAGGGAAUCUUCCGCAAUGGGCGAAAGCUUGACGGAGCAACGCCGCGUGAGUGAUGAAGGUCUUCGGAUCGUAAAACUCUGUUAUUAGGGAAGAACAAAUGUGUAAGUAACUAUGCACGCCUUGACGGUACCUAAUCAGAAAGCCACGGCUAACUACGUG
rnacentral:rRNA from 1 species